rnacentral:rRNA from 1 species
GGGCCCGCACAAGCGGUGGAGCAUGUGGUUUAAUUCGACGCAACGCGAAGAACCUUACCUGGGCUCGAACGGCUUCUCAACGGCCUGUGAAAGCAGGCUAUCCCGCAAGGGAGUGGAGUCGAGGUGCUGCAUGGCUGUCGUCAGCUCGUGUCGUGAGAUGUUGGGUUAAGUCCCGCAACGAGCGCAACCCUUGUCCCGUGUUGCUAACCGUAAGGUGCACUCUCGGGAGACCGCCAGCGAUAAGUUGGAGGAAGGUGGGGAUGACGUCAAGUCAUCAUGGCCUUUAUGUCCAGGGCUACACACGUGCUACAAUGGACGGUACAAAGCGCUGCAAAACCGCGAGGUGGAGCUAAUCGCAGAAAACCGUUCUCAGUUCGGAUUGCAGGCUGCAACUCGCCUGCAUGAAGCUGGAAUCGCUAGUAAUGGCAGAUCAGCAUGCUGCCGUGAAUACGUUCCCGGGCCUU